rnacentral:lncRNA from 1 species
UUCAUCUUUGGGCUCAAUAAUCAGGCACUUCAUAUGGGGGCUCUUCCAGGAUCCCAUGAAGGAAACAGAGUAUGACCAACAGAGGGAGGGGACCCCUAUCACUGGGACAACUUGAGACGAUGGGAUUCGGACACGUCACAUCUCAGUGGAGGACGCUAGGGUCCAGUCACUCUGUUCUCAGAUGAAUGAGUAUUCUGAAGUGGAAGUGUCCAGAUGAUCUUAUGAGUUCCAGAGAUUCAGAAGUCUCAUCGAGCUGAAUGGUAGCAGUGUCAAUGUCCACCAGAGUUUUAGGAAUGAGUCAUUGGAGGAACAGCUUACCAUGUGGCCAUCUUCUUGAGAAUGCUGUGAUCAAAGAGAAAUCUCAUACUGGCUCAGGUAUUUGAUGCUGACAGGGUGGGUUAUUUGUGUAUGUUCUGGAAGGAAUGCUCAGAAAUUAA